UUCGUCCUACGGGGCGCAGCAGUGGGGAAUAUUGCACAAUGGGGGAAACCCUGAUGCAGCGACGCCGCGUGAGUGAAGAAGUAUUUCGGUAUGUAAAGCUCUAUCAGCAGGGAAGAAGAAAGACGGUACCUGACUAAGAAGCCCCGGCUAACUACGUGCCAGCAGACGCGGUAAUACGUAGGGGGCAAGCGUUAUCCGGAUUUACUGGGUGUAAAGGGAGCGUAGACGGAGGAGCAAGUCUGAUGUGAAAAUCCGGGGCACAACCCCGGAACUGCAUUGGAAACUGUUUAUCUAGAGUGUCGGAG
rnacentral:rRNA from 1 species